rnacentral:piRNA from 1 species
CGGAGUACGAGUCCAUCCUACGCAGGGC